CACAACCCUAUUUCCUCUUCAUAAUCAAGGGCAGCACAGCCAGCAUGGGGACACCCUCUUCUGCCAUUGCCCUAGUGGCUGGAGGAGUCCCAAAUGAGGGAUCGAACUCGGGACUUUAUGCUUGCAAGGCAGGCGGCGGAACCACUGAGGAAUCAAGUUAGAGUCCUUGUGCUUGUGCAGCAGGCAGCGAAACCACUGAGUUAAAUCCCUGGCCCCAGUUCUCAAUUAUGUUUUAAACCCUGUCAAUCUUUGGUGCCAAUCAGCCUGGAAAACUGAAUGAUUUGGAGCAGCCUUCCUGAUUUGCCCAGAGAUAUCAGAUUCUUCAGUGUCAGCUGGACAAAAGUAUAAUCAGCUGGACGUGGUUGCGCACUUUUGAAAUCCCAGCACUCUGGGAGGCUGAGAACAUCUUCAAGCAGUGGUUCUCAACUUUGAUGUGUAUUAGGACUGACUGAGAAGACUUGAAAAAUCAUCACACCCUGGCCCUGCCCCAGCACAAUUAAAUAAAGGUCUCUGAGGAUGAAACUCAGGUCUCCAUACUUUUUAAAGUUGUUCAGAUUAGAGACUCUGCUUCCACCAUGCUCUCGUUCUCUCUCUGAUCGUCCAUCCUGGAGGAAGCCAGCUGCUGCAUCCUGGGGACAUUGGAGCAGCCUGUGGAGAGGCCACCCAGGAGGAACUGAGGCUGGCUGCCAAUUACCAGCCCGAACCCGCCUGCCAGAGAGAAACAAGACAAGGCAACACACACCUGUAAUCCCUGCGCUGCGAAGGGCCGUGGCAGCAGGAUCACAAGCUCAAGCCCAGCCUGGCGAAUUCCGCAAACUGGUGAGACCCUGUCUCAAAAUCAAAAAUAAAAAAGGACUGGGGAUGUAGCUCGGUGCAAAGGAAUUAAUUCCGAGAACCACCAUGAAAAAUAAAAAUACAAAGGGACAUAAUGAGAUCAUUCCCACCAGACCUUCCCCACCCCCACCUCCACCAGGGAACUAAUCCUCUGCUUCCAAGACCAGCCAAAAUCUCCCCCCCUCUUGGAAAGCUUCCAGGCCACACCAGACUGGAGCCAUCACUCUGUCUCCUCAGCCUCUAGAAAAAGAAUGUCUUGUCCUGGGACUCAUUUGCCAAUGACCUUUUUAUGACCUUGUGACAUUCUUUCAUAGCUGUUUUAAACUGUUAUUGUUUCUCUCUUGAGCUGCUAUUUAGCUUUCCUUUCAGUUAUGUUAUAUGUGCAUGGGGAAUUGAGGAACCAUGCCUGUCUCCUGAAUAAACUUCCAAGGGCCCAGCUUCAAAGGAGGCUCUGGAUUGGAAUCCAUUCUCUGCUGUUUACUUUGCUGUGUGAUUUGAGCUGGUUACUUGACCUCUCUGUGUGUCAGAGUCCUUAUCUGUAAAGAUAUUACUUUACUACCAAUAUUCUACCAUAUUUGACCCCCCAAGUGAUAGUUUUAUAGGGAUGAUUGAAUUAUAUGGUGAACAUGUAAAUUCUUUAAAAAGUUUAUUACAGUAAAAGGCACAUUGCCUUGAAACCCCUUCAAAAUACCCCUCCUUACUUCGAACACAUUUCGCCCAUCAUUCUUGCCAUUUUCUGAAGUACUUCUGGACGUCCUCUUUCAGACUGUCUUUACAAAGUGUGAUAAAAAAUAUGGUGGAUGCUGCUGCCAAGUGCCAUCUGAUGAAAGACAGGCUCAUAUAAACAUGACUGUGUGUUCUCAUCCACCUGUUCACUGGAUCUGGCAUGGUGUGACUUCUGGUUCUUCCCCAAAGACAAAAUGAUCAUGAAAUAAAUGUUUUGAAUCUAUUUAGGACAUGAAGGCAGCCACCACAGCACAGCUAAAGGCACUGAUGAGUGUAGUGACCCUGUGAUCGAAUCACCUUCCACACAUGGGAGAAUUCUGGGGGACAUUUUAGAUCUAAACCAUAGUCGGUCUGCUUUGUUGUAUACAAUUAUACCCCAAUGAAGCUG
ensembl:lncRNA